UACAGAGGUGGCAAGCGUUGUUCGGAAUUACUGGGCGUAAAGGGCGCGUAGGCGGCCUUCUAAGUCAGACGUGAAAUCCCCCGGCUUAACCUGGGAACUGCGUCUGAUACUGGAGGGCUUGAGUGCGGGAGAGGGAUGUGGAAUUCCAGGUGUAGCGGUGAAAUUCGUAGAUAUCAAGCGGAACACCGGUGGCGAAGGCGGCUCACUGGCUCAUUACUGACGCUCAGGCGCGAUAGCGUGGGGAUCAAACAGG
rnacentral:rRNA from 1 species